GCAGUCGUGGGCGAGUGGUUGAGGCGAUGAACUAGAAAUCCAUUGGGGUCUCCCCGCACAGGUUCGAAUUCUGUCGACUGCG
rnacentral:tRNA from 2 species